GAGAGAAUAGCUCAGGGGAGAGCGUGUGCCUAGCAUGUAUAAAGUCCUGGGUUCAAUCUCCAGUACCUCCA
rnacentral:tRNA from 1 species